AGAGUUUGAUCCUGGCUCAGAGCGAACGCUGGCGGCAGGCUUAGCACAUGCAAGUCGAGCGGGCGUAGCAAUACGUCAGCGGCAGACGGGUGAGUAACGCGUGGGAACGUACCUUUUGGUUCGGAACAACUGAGGGAAACUUCAGCUAAUACCGGAUAAGCCCUUACGGGGAAAGAUUUAUCGCCUUUAGAGCGGCCCGCGUCUGAUUAGCUAGUUGGUGAGGUAAAGGCUCACCAAGGCGACGAUCAGUAGCUGGUCUGAGAGGAUGAUCAGCCACAUUGGGACUGAGACACGGCCCAAACUCCUACGGGAGGCAGCAGUGGGGAAUCUUGCGCAAUGGGCGAAAGCCUGACGCAGCCAUGCCGCGUGAAUGAUGAAGGUCUUAGGAUUGUAAAAUUCUUUCACCGGGGACGAUAAUGACGGUACCCGGAGAAGAAGCCCCGGCUAACUUCGUGCCAGCAGCCGCGGUAAUACGAAGGGGGCUAGCGUUGCUCGGAAUUACUGGGCGUAAAGGGAGCGUAGGCGGACAUUUAAGUCAGGGGUGAAAUCCCGGGGCUCAACCUCGGAAUUGCCAUUGAUACUGGGUGUCUUGAGUGUGAGAGAGGUAUGUGGAACUCCGAGUGUAGAGGUGAAAUUCGUAGAUAUUCGGAAGAACACCAGUGGCGAAGGCGACAUACUGGCUCAUUACUGACGCUGAGGCUCGAAAGCGUGGGGAGCAAACAGGAUUAGAUACCCUGGUAGUCC
rnacentral:rRNA from 1 species